GAAGGUGUGCUGUGAGGCACGCUGGAGGUAUCAGAAGUGCGAAUGCUGACAUAAGUAACGAUAAAGCGGGUGAAAAGCCCGCUCGCCGGAAGACCAAGGGUUCCUGUCCAACGUUAAUCGGGGCAGGGUGAGUCGACCCCUAAGGCGAGGCCGAAAGGCGUAGUCGAUGGGAAACAGGUUAAUAUUCCUGUACUUGGUGUUACUGCGAAGGGGGGACGGAGAAGGCUAUGUUGGCCGGGCGACGGUUGUCCCGGUUUAAGCGUGUAGGCUGGUUUUCCAGGCAAAUCCGGAAAAUCAAGGCUGAGGCGUGAUGACGAGGCACUACGGUGCUGAAGCAACAAAUGCCCUGCUUCCAGGAAAAGCCUCUAAGCAUCAGGUAACAUCAAAUCGUACCCCAAACCGACACAGGUGGUCAGGUAGAGAAUACCAAGGCGCUUGAGAGAACUCGGGUGAAGGAACUAGGCAAAAUGGUGCCGUAACUUCGGGAGAAGGCACGCUGAUAUGUAGGUGAAGUCCCUCGCGGAUGGAGCUGAAAUCAGUCGAAGAUACCAGCUGGCUGCAACUGUUUAUUAAAAACACAGCACUGUGCAAACACGAAAGUGGACGUAUACGGUGUGACGCCUGCCCGGUGCCGGAAGGUUAAUUGAUGGGGUUAGCGCAAGCGAAGCUCUUGAUCGAAGCCCCGGUAAACGGCGGCCGUAACUAUAACGGUCCUAAGGUAGCGAAAUUCCUUGUCGGGUAAGUUCCGACCUGCACGAAUGGCGUAAUGAUGGCCAGGCUGUCUCCACCCGAGACUCAGUGAAAUUGAACUCGCUGUGAAGAUGCAGUGUACCCGCGGCAAGACGGAAAGACCCCGUGAACCUUUACUAUAGCUUGACACUGAACAUUGAGCCUUGAUGUGUAGGAUAGGUGGGAGGCUUUGAAGUGUGGACGCCAGUCUGCAUGGAGCCGACCUUGAAAUACCACCCUUUAAUGUUUGAUGUUCUAACGUUGACCCGUAUGAAGUGUGGACGCCAGUCUGCAUGGAGCCGACCUUGAAAUACCACCCUUUAAUGUUUGAUGUUCUAACGUUGACCCGUGAUCCGGGUUGCGGACAGUGUCUGGUGGGUAGUUUGACUGGGGCGGUCUCCUCCUAAAGAGUAACGGAGGAGCACGAAGGUUGGCUAAUCCUGGUCGGACAUCAGGAGGUUAGUGCAAUGGCAUAAGCCAGCUUGACUGCGAGCGUGACGGCGCGAGCAGGUGCGAAAGCAGGUCAUAGUGAUCCGGUGGUUCUGAAUGGAAGGGCCAUCGCUCAACGGAUAAAAGGUACUCCGGGGAUAACAGGCUGAUACCGCCCAAGAGUUCAUAUCGACGGCGGUGUUUGGCACCUCGAUGUCGGCUCAUCACAUCCUGGGGCUGAAGUAGGUCCCAAGGGUAUGGCUGUUCGCCAUUUAAAGUGGUACGCGAGCUGGGUUUAGAACGUCGUGAGACAGUUCGGUCCCUAUCUGCCGUGGGCGCUGGAGAACUGAGGGGGGCUGCUCCUAGUACGAGAGGACCGGAGUGGACGCAUCACUGGUGUUCGGGUUGUCAUGCCAAUGGCACUGCCCGGUAGCUAAAUGCGGAAGAGAUAAGUGCUGAAAGCAUCUAAGCACGAAACUUGCCCCGAGAUGAGUUCUCCCUGACUCCUUGAGAGUCCUGAAGGAACGUUGAAGACGACGACGUUGAUAGGCCGGGUGUGUAAGCGCAGCGAUGCGUUGAGCUAACCGGUACUAAUGAACCGUGAG
rnacentral:rRNA from 1 species